CAGAGGGUGCAAGCGUUAAUCGGAAUUACUGGGCGUAAAGCGUGCGUAGUCGGCUUUUCAAGUCGGGUGUGAAAGCCCCGGGCUCAACCUGGGAAUUGCAUUCGAUACUGGAUGGCUAGAGUUCGGCAGAGGGAAGUGGAAUUUCCGGUGUAGCGGUGAAAUGCGUAGAUAUCGGAAGGAACAUCAGUGGCGAAAGCGACUUCCUGGACCAGAACUGACGAUCAGGCACGAAAGCGUGGGGAGCAAACAGGAUUAGAUACCCUGGUAGUCCACGCCAUAAACGAUGACAACUAGACGUUGGGGGGGUAAGCCUCUCAGUGUCGCAGCUAACGCGUUAAGUUGUCCGCCUGGGGAGUACGGCCGCAAGGUUG
rnacentral:rRNA from 1 species